CGUCGGCUUUCCCGCGACGGUCAGCCGUGAACUCCGCCAGGCCCGGAAGGGAGCAACGGUAGCGGUGAUGCCGGGUGCCGGGAAGAGGCUGGCGCGG
rnacentral:SRP_RNA from 1 species